GAUGAACGCUGGCGGCGUGCCUAAUACAUGCAAGUCGAGCGAACAGACUAUUAUCUUGCUCCCCUGACGUUAGCGUCGGACGUGUGAGUGACACGGGGAGAACCUACCUAUAAGACUGGCAUAACUUCGGGAAACCGAAGCAAAAACCGUUGAUUAUAUUGAAUCACCUGGUUCGAUAGUAAAGUACGGUUUUGCUAUCACUGAUAGAUUGAUCCGAGCCGCAUUAGAUAGUGGGUAAUGGAAUGGCUUAACAAGGCGACGAUGCGAAGCCGACCUGAGAGGGUGAUCCGACACACUGGCACUGAGACAGAGUCCAGACUCCUACGCGAGGCCGCAGUCGGGAAUCCUCCGCAAUGGGGGAAAGCCUGACGGAGCAAAGCCGCGUGAGUGCUGAAGGUCUUACGAUCGUAAAACUAUGUUAUUAGGGAAGAACAAAUGUGUAAGCAACUAUGCACGUAUUGACGGUACCUAAUCAGAAAGCCACGGCUAACUACGUG
rnacentral:rRNA from 1 species